rnacentral:rRNA from 1 species
GUGCCAGCCGGCCGCGGUAAUGCCGGCAGCCCAAGUGAUGGCCGCUGUUAUUGGGCCUAAAGCGUCCGUAGCUGGCCGCACAAGUCCGUCGGGAAAUCCACCCGCCCAACGGGUGGGCGUCCGGUGGAAACUGCGUGGCUUGGGACCGGAAGGCGCGACGGGUACGUCCGGGGUAGGAGUGAAAUCCCGUAAUCCUGGACGGACCGCCGAUGGCGAAAGCACGUCGCGAAGACGGAUCCGACAGUGAGGGACGAAAGCCAGGGUCUCCAACCGGAUUAGAAACCCCGGUAGUCC